rnacentral:rRNA from 1 species
CGCAAACUUUUUUUUCGAUAUGAACUCUAAAAAAAAAUUACGCUGUUAUCCCUAAGGUAAUUUAAUCUUGUAAUCAUAAAAUAUGGAUCAUUUAUUCAUACAUUAAUGUUUUAAUAUAAAAAAAGUUACUUUAAUUUUUCAGUUGCCCCAACUAAAUAUUUAUAUAUAAACUUAAAUCUAAAAUACUUAAACUUUUAAAUAUAUAUAUAAAUAUAAAAUUCUAUAGGGUCUUCUCGUCUUUUAAAAUUAUUUAAGCUUUUUUACUUAAAAAUAAAAUUCUAAUUUAAAUUAAAUUGAGACAGUUUCUCCCUCGUCAAACCUUUCAUACCAGUUCUCAAUUAAAAAACUAAUUAUUAUGCUACCUUUGCACGGUCAAAAUACCGCGGCCAUUUAAAAAUAUUAUUCAUAGGGCAGGUCAGACUUUAUAUUAUACUCAAAAAGACAU